GAUGAACGCUGGCGGCGUGCCUAAUACAUGCAAGUCGAGCGAACAGACGAGGAGCUUGCUCCUCUGACGUUAGCGGCGGACGGGUGAGUAACACGUGGAUAACCUACCUAUAAGACUCGGAUAACUUCGGGAAACCGUAGCUAAUACCGGAUAAUAUAUUGAACCGCAUUGUUCAAUAUUGAAAGACGGUUUUGCUGUCACUUAUAUAUGGAUCCGCGCCGCAUUAGCUAGUUGGUAAGGUAACGGCUUACCAAGGCAACGAUGCGUAGCCGACCUGAGAGGGUGAUCGGCCACACUGGAACUGAGACACGGUCCAGACUCCUACGGGAGGCAGCAGUAGGGAAUCUUCCGCAAUGGGCGAAAGCCUGACGGAGCAACGCCGCGUGAGUGAUGAAGGUCUUCGGAUCGUAAAACUCUGUUAUUAGGGAAGAACAAAUGUGUAAGUAACUAUGCACGUCUUGACGGUACCUAAUCAGAAAGCCACGGCUAACUACGUG
rnacentral:rRNA from 1 species